ensembl:misc_RNA 7SK 7SK RNA
GGAUGUGAGGGCAACCAGGUCAUGACGUCUCAAACACUAUUUGACGAGGGUUGAUUGGGUUGCUCUGGCUUGCUAGUCAGGUUCCCCAGGUUCCCCAUUCUCCCUCACUACUCCAUGUGCAUCUCUCUGAAGCUGCUUGUUUGGUCAAAGAGGAUGACCUUUUCCAACUAGAAGCAGAUCUCUCUUCCCUUCUCUUCCAUUGAGGGUAUGAGUGCCUGUGCUUGCCUGCUAGAACCUCUAAACAAGCUCUCCUGGUCUAGAUGAGAACUGGGGCCCCUCACCCCAGAAUCUUGAAGCUGAGGUUCCAGGGCCUGUAGAAGACUACAGCU